CAGCCACAGUACAAACCGGGGAAGAACCCAGCCACCACCAUUGUUGGCAGACCAUUGCUCCAAGCAGCAGUAAAGGUUCCCAGAGGCCUUUUGUCAAUUGUCCCCUGAACAGAACAUAAACAUCUCCACGGCUGCCAUUCAGUGGACAUCCUGUUUACAUGACUACCGCAUUGGGAACAGCCUUGUGGAGCCCAUAGGUUAUGGGACUGAUGUCUCUGGCCAGUGAAAACCUGAGGCCUGCCAACAGCCAUGUGAGUGAGCUUGAAAGUGAAUCCUACCUUGAGAUGACUCCAGCCCUGGCCGGUACCUCGAUUGUAGCCUUAUAAGAGAUGAAUUCCACGAUUAGAAACAAACAAAAACAGGGACUUCCCUGGUGGUGCAGUGGUUAAGAAUCUGCCUGCCAAUGCAGGGGACACGGGUUUGAGCCCUGGUCGGGAAGAUC